UACGGGGGGGGUAAGCGUUGUUCGGAAUUACUGGGCGUAAAGGGCUCGUAGGCGGCCAACUAAGUCGGACGUGAAAUCCCUCAGCUUAACUGGGGAACUGCGUCCGAUACUGGAUGGCUUGGAUUCGGGAGAGGGAUGCGGAAUUCCAGGUGUAGCGGUGAAAUGCGUAGAGAUCUGGAGGAACACCGAUGGCGAAGGCAGCCUUCUGGGCCAACACUGACGCUCAUGCACGAAAGCGUGGGGAGCAAACAGG
rnacentral:rRNA from 1 species